rnacentral:rRNA from 1 species
AGUGAACGCUGGCGGCGUGCUUAACACAUGCAAGUCGAACGAGAACGGGUUAUAGCUUGCUAUAAUUGUCAGCUAAGUGGCGCACGGGUGAGUAAUGUAUAGGUAAUAUGCCUCUUACUAAGGGAUAACAAAUGGAAACGUUUGCUAAUACCUUAUACUCCUUAUUAACAGAAGUUAAUAAGGGAAAGAUUUAUUGGUAAGAGAUUAGCCUGUAUUGUAUCAGUUAGUUGGUGGGGUAAUGGCCUACCAAGACUAUGACACAUAACUGGUUUGAGAGGAUGAUCAGUCACACUGGAACAGAGACACGGUCCAGACUCCUACGGGAGGCAGCAGUGGGGAAUAUUGCACAAUGGACGAAAGUCUGAUGCAGCAACGCCGCGUGGAGGAUGACACAUUUCGGUGCGUAAACUCCUUUUAUAUGAGAAGAUAAUGACGGUAUUAUAUGAAUAAGCACCGGCUAACUCCGUGCCAGCCGCCGCCGUAA